rnacentral:RNase_P_RNA from 1 species
GGAGUCGGCCAGACAAUCGCCGCCCGCUGAUCUGGAAGCUGUCGCAGACUGUUUUCGGAGGUGGGGGGAGGAAAGUCCGGGCUCCAUAGGGCAGGGUGCCAGGUAACGCCUGGGGGGCGCGAGUCCACGGAAAGUGCAGCAGAGAGCAGACCGCCGAUGGCCUGUCUUCGGACGGGAUCAGGUAAGGGUGAAAGGGUGCGGUAAGAGCGCACCGCGCGGCCGGUAACGGUUCGCGGCACGGUAAACCCCACCCGGAGCAAGACCAAAUAGGAAUCCAUUGGCGUGGCCCGCGCUGGAUUCGGGUAGGUCGCUUGAGCCUGGGAGUGAUCCCCGGCCUAGAGGAAUGAUUGUCCACGACAGAACCCGGCUUAUCGGCCGACUCCGGUU